GAGGGUAUAGCUCAAUGGUAGAGUGCCUGCUUAGCAUGCACGAGGUCCUGGGUUCAAUCCCCAGUACUUCCA
rnacentral:tRNA from 1 species